GAUGAACGCUGGCGGCGUGCUUAACACAUGCAAGUCGAACGGAAAGGCCUCAGCUUGCUGGGGUACUCGAGUGGCGAACGGGUGAGUAACACGUGGGUGAUCUGCCCUGCACUUCGGGAUAAGCCUGGGAAACUGGGUCUAAUACUGGAUAGGACCAUCGUUUAGUGUCGGUGGUGGAAAGUUUUUUCGGUGUGGGAUGAGCUCGCGGCCUAUCAGCUUGUUGGUGGGGUAAUGGCCUACCAAGGCGUCGACGGGUAGCCGGCCUGAGAGGGUGUACGGCCACAUUGGGACUGAGAUACGGCCCAGACUCCUACGGGAGGCAGCAGUGGGGAAUAUUGCACAAUGGGCGCAAGCCUGAUGCAGCGACGCCGCGUGGGGGAUGACGGCCUUCGGGUUGUAAACUCCUUUCGCCAAAGACGAAUGUGGACGGUAUUUGGAGAAGAAGCACCGGCUAACUACGUGCCAGCCGCCGCCGUAACAC
rnacentral:rRNA from 1 species